UACGUAGGAUCCAAGCGUUGUCCGGAUUUACUGGGUGUAAAGGGUGCGCAGGCGGACUUAUAAGUCAGAGGUGAAAUCUCACUGCUCAACAGUGAAACUGCCUUUGAUACUGUAGGUCUUGAAUUAGGGAGAGAUUCGUGGAAUUCCGAGUGUAGCAGUGAAAUGUGUAGAUAUUCGGAAGAACACCAGUGGCGAAGGCGACUUACUGGACACAUAUUGACGCUGAGGUGCGAAAGCGUGGGGAGCAAACAGG
rnacentral:rRNA from 1 species